GAUUAAGUUAUUAAGGGCGCACGGUGGAUGCCUUGGCACUAGAAGCCGAUGAAGGACGUUACUAACGACGAUAUGCUUUGGGGAGCUGUAAGUAAGCUUUGAUCCAGAGAUUUCCGAAUGGGGAAACCCAGCAUGAGUUAUGUCAUGUUAUCGAUAUGUGAAUACAUAGCAUAUCAGAAGGCACACCCGGAGAACUGAAACAUCUUAGUACCCGGAGGAAGAAAAAGAAAAUUCGAUUCCCUUAGUAGCGGCGAGCGAAACGGGAAGAGCCCAAACCAACAAGCUUGCUUGUUGGGGUUGUAGGACACUCUAUACGGAGUUACAAAGGACGACAUUAGACGAAUCAUCUGGAAAGAUGAAUCAAAGAAGGUAAUAAUCCUGUAGUCGAAAAUGUUGUCUCUCUUGAGUGGAUCCUGAGUACGACGGAACACGUGAAAUUCCGUCGGAAUCUGGGAGGACCAUCUCCUAAGGCUAAAUACUCUCUAGUGACCGAUAGUGAACCAGUACCGUGAGGGAAAGGUGAAAAGCACCCCGGAAGGGGAGUGAAAUAGAACCUGAAACCGUGUGCUUACAAGUAGUCAGAGCCCGUUAAUGGGUGAUGGCGUGCCUUUUGUAGAAUGAACCGGCGAGUUACGAUUUGAUGCAAGGUUAAGCAGUAAAUGUGGAGCCGUAGCGAAAGCGAGUCUGAAUAGGGCGUUUAGUAUUUGGUCGUAGACCCGAAACCAGGUGAUCUACCCUUGGUCAGGUUGAAGUUCAGGUAACACUGAAUGGAGGACCGAACCGACUUACGUUGAAAAGUGAGCGGAUGAACUGAGGGUAGCGGAGAAAUUCCAAUCGAACCUGGAGAUAGCUGGUUCUCUCCGAAAUAGCUUUAGGGCUAGCCUCAAGUGAUGAUUAUUGGAGGUAGAGCACUGUUUGGACGAGGGGCCCCUCUCGGGUUACCGAAUUCAGACAAACUCCGAAUGCCAAUUAAUUUAACUUGGGAGUCAGAACAUGGGUGAUAAGGUCCGUGUUCGAAAGGGAAACAGCCCAGACCACCAGCUAAGGUCCCAAAAUAUAUGUUAAGUGGAAAAGGAUGUGGCGUUGCCCAGACAACUAGGAUGUUGGCUUAGAAGCAGCCAUCAUUUAAAGAGUGCGUAAUAGCUCACUAGUCGAGUGACACUGCGCCGAAAAUGUACCGGGGCUAAACAUAUUACCGAAGCUGUGGAUUGUCCUUUGGACAAUGGUAGGAGAGCGUUCUAAGGGCGUUGAAGCAUGAUCGUAAGGACAUGUGGAGCGCUUAGAAGUGAGAAUGCCGGUGUGAGUAGCGAAAGACGGGUGAGAAUCCCGUCCACCGAUUGACUAAGGUUUCCAGAGGAAGGCUCGUCCGCUCUGGGUUAGUCGGGUCCUAAGCUGAGGCCGACAGGCGUAGGCGAUGGAUAACAGGUUGAUAUUCCUGUACCACCUAUAAUCGUUUUAAUCGAUGGGGGGACGCAGUAGGAUAGGCGAAGCGUGCGAUUGGAUUGCACGUCUAAGCAGUAAGGCUGAGUAUUAGGCAAAUCCGGUACUCGUUAAGGCUGAGCUGUGAUGGGGAGAAGACAUUGAGUCUUCGAGUCGUUGAUUUCACACUGCCGAGAAAAGCCUCUAGAUAGAAAAUAGGUGCCCGUACCGCAAACCGACACAGGUAGUCAAGAUGAGAAUUCUAAGGUGAGCGAGCGAACUCUCGUUAAGGAACUCGGCAAAAUGACCCCGUAACUUCGGGAGAAGGGGUGCUCUUUAGGGUUAACGCCCAGAAGAGCCGCAGUGAAUAGGCCCAAGCGACUGUUUAUCAAAAACACAGGUCUCUGCUAAACCGUAAGGUGAUGUAUAGGGGCUGACGCCUGCCCGGUGCUGGAAGGUUAAGAGGAGUGGUUAGCUUCUGCGAAGCUACGAAUCGAAGCCCCAGUAAACGGCGGCCGUAACUAUAACGGUCCUAAGGUAGCGAAAUUCCUUGUCGGGUAAGUUCCGACCCGCACGAAAGGCGUAACGAUUUGGGCACUGUCUCAACGAGAGACUCGGUGAAAUCAUAGUACCUGUGAAGAUGCAGGUUACCCGCGACAGGACGGAAAGACCCCGUGGAGCUUUACUGUAGCCUGAUAUUGAAAUUCGGCACAGCUUGUACAGGAUAGGUAGGAGCCUUUGAAACGUGAGCGCUAGCUUACGUGGAGGCGCUGGUGGGAUACUACCCUAGCUGUGUUGGCUUUCUAACCCGCACCACUUAUCGUGGUGGGAGACAGUGUCAGGCGGGCAGUUUGACUGGGGCGGUCGCCUCCUAAAAGGUAACGGAGGCGCUCAAAGGUUCCCUCAGAAUGGUUGGAAAUCAUUCAUAGAGUGUAAAGGCAUAAGGGAGCUUGACUGCGAGACCUACAAGUCGAGCAGGGUCGAAAGACGGACUUAGUGAUCCGGUGGUUCCGCAUGGAAGGGCCAUCGCUCAACGGAUAAAAGCUACCCCGGGGAUAACAGGCUUAUCUCCCCCAAGAGUUCACAUCGACGGGGAGGUUUGGCACCUCGAUGUCGGCUCAUCGCAUCCUGGGGCUGUAGUCGGUCCCAAGGGUUGGGCUGUUCGCCCAUUAAAGCGGUACGCGAGCUGGGUUCAGAACGUCGUGAGACAGUUCGGUCCCUAUCCGUCGUGGGCGUAGGAAAUUUGAGAGGAGCUGUCCUUAGUACGAGAGGACCGGGAUGGACAUACCUCUGGUGUACCAGUUGUCGUGCCAACGGCAUAGCUGGGUAGCUAUGUGUGGACGGGAUAAGUGCUGAAAGCAUCUAAGCAUGAAGCCCCCCUCAAGAUGAGAUUUCCCAACUUCGGUUAUAAGAUCCCUCAAAGAUGAUGAGGUUA
rnacentral:rRNA from 1 species